AGAGAGUCAACAGCCAUAUUUGCUGGAGCAGUGAACCAGAUUGCCUUGACUGGAACCAUUACUCACUUGCACCUUCGACAGCAGCAGCCAGGAAAUUUGAAGACAGUCAUGCCUAUUAGAUGCUUAGAAGAUGCAGAUAGCUGUAUCAAAAUGGAGGAGCUGAAGAGAGCUUUGCUCUAGUAGAUCACAAAUAUUUC